GUUUGUUUGGAGUUAUAAGGAAUCUAGCCUGCCCCCUGAUUAAAUUUGUAUUAAAGGGCCGCAGUAUUUUAACUGUGCAAAGGUAGCAUAAUCAUUAGGUUUUUAAUUGAAAUCUUGUAUGAAUGGCUGGACAAAAGAAGAGCUUUCUUUAUGUUAAUUUUGAAUUUAACUUUUAAGUGAAAAGGCUUAAAUAUUCCAAAGGGACGAUAAGACCCUGUAAAACUUUACAUUGUAGUUAAAAUUUUAUUUAAUUUGUAAUAUAAAAAUUUAGUUAAGGUUAUUUGUUAUGUUGGGGAGACAGAGGUAAAAUUUUUUUGUUUUAACUACUUUAGGAGUUUAACAAUUGUUGUUGGGAAUGUAAUAGAUCCUUUUUAAAGAUUAAUAAGUUAAGUUACUUUAGGGAUAACAGCGUAAUUUCUUUUAAGAGUUCUUAUCGAAAAAGAAGAUUGCGACCUCGAUGUUGAAUUAAGAGAUCUAUAUGGUGGAGGAAUUAUAUAAGAAGGUCUGUUCGACCUUUAAAAUUUU
rnacentral:rRNA from 1 species